GCUGAGAUGUCCGAGCGGUCUAAGGAGCUGGAUUCAAGUGUGAGAACUUGCGCGUUUGUGUUUCCCAGUAGGGCAACCUGCGGGGGUUCGAAUCCCCCUCUCAGCA
rnacentral:tRNA from 1 species